rnacentral:rRNA from 1 species
GGUACAAGUGUUUAAUACCGUUCUUUUAAAGUCUAUAUGCAAUUAGGGUUCGAUUCGGAGAGGGAGCCUGAGAAACGGCUACCACAUCCAGGAAGGCAGCAGGCGCGCAAAUUACCCAAUCCCGACACGGGGAGGUAGUGACAAUAAAUAACAAUACCGGGCCUUUUAGUGUCUGGUUUUGAAAUGAGUAAUUUAAAAUCCCUUAACGAGAAUCCAUGGGGGGGCAAGUCUGGUGCCCCCCCCGCGGUUUCCCCCCUCCAUAGCGUAUUAAAAUUUUUUGCAUUUAAAAAGCUCAUAUUUGAAUUUGGGGCCGGGGGGCCGCCCCUCUCCGGCGAACCGGCCCGGGGCCCCCCCCCCCGGAAACGUUUUUUCCCAAAGGGGCGGGGGGCCUCCGCACUUUUUUAAAAAAUAAAGGGUCCCCCCCCCCUCCUUUGAAAUUUUUAGGGAAAACCAAGUUCCCGGCCUUGGGGAGCCCCCGGGCCAAAAAGGAAAAGGGGCUUGGGGGGGUUUUUUAUUAUUAAAUUAAUUUUUUAAAAAACAAAAAAGAAAAGUUAAAAAUUUCCCCAAUUUUCGAAAAAAAAGGGAUUUGGGCCCCAAAAAUUUUAUUUUUUUUUUUGCCCAAAAAAACCCCAGGGAGCCCGUGUUUUCACCACCCCCCCCCCCCCCGGAUCCAUUUUUGGGUGUUUAAAGCGCCUUUCUAGCGCACCAAAGGGGGGAGAGUAUAUAAGAAAGCGGA